CAGAGGGUGCAAGCGUUAAUCGGAUUUACUGGGCGUAAAGCGUGUGUAGGUGGUUGGGAAAGUCAAUUGUGAAAGCCCCGGGCUUAACUCGGGAACUGCUUUUGAUACUGUCUGACUAGAAUUCGGUAGAGGGAGGCGGAACUCCAGGUGUAGCGGUGAAAUGCGUAGAUAUCUGGAAGAACACCAAUGGCGAAGGCAACCUCCUGGGCCUGAAUUGACACUGAGACACGAAAGCGUGGGGAUCAAACAGGAUUAGAUACCCUGGUAGUCCACGCCGUAAACGAUGACAACUUGACGUCGGUUUGCUCUGCGAAUCGGUGUCGUAGCUAGCGCGAUAAGUUGUCCGCCUGGGGAGUACGGCCGCAAGGUUG
rnacentral:rRNA from 1 species